rfam:Glycine soja cultivar W05 scaffold975_111, whole genome shotgun sequence.
GGGUUUAUCGUUUAGUGGUAGAGCAUUUGAUUGCAAAUCAAGAGGUCACCUAUUUGGACUCU